rnacentral:tRNA from 1 species
GCCUUCAUGGUGUAGUGGUCAGCACGCUCGGCUCGCAUCGAGAGGUCCGUGGUUCGAAUCCCGGCGAGGGCA